GAUGAACGCUGGCGGCGUGCCUAAUACAUGCAAGUCGAGCGAACAGAUGCGGAGCUUGCUCCUCUGACGUUAGCCGCGGGCGGGUGAAUAACACGUGUAUAACCUACCUAUCAUACUGGUAUAACUUCGGGAAACCGGAUCUAAUACCGGAUAAUAUAUUGCACCGCAUUGUGCGAUAGUAAAAUUCGGCUUUGCUGGCACUUAUAGAUGGAUCCGCGCCGCAUUAGCUAGUUGGUAAGGUAACGGCUUAUCAAGGCUACGAUGCGUAGCCGACCUGAGAGGGUGAUCGGCGACACGGGAACUUAGACACGGUCCAGAGUACUACGGGAGGCAGCAGUAGGGAAUGGUACGCAGUGGGCGGGAGCCUGACGCAGCAACGGCGCGUGAGUGAUGAAGGUCUUCGGAGCGUAAAACUCUGUUAUUAGUGAAGAACCAAUGUGUAAGUAAAUAUGCCCGUAUUGACGGUACCUAAUAAGAAAGCAACGGCUAACUACGUG
rnacentral:rRNA from 1 species